rnacentral:rRNA from 1 species
ACCAGCCACACUGGGACUGAGACACGGCCCAGACUCGUACGGGAGGCAGCAGUGGGGAAGUUUGGACAAUGGGGGAAACCCUGAUCCAGCCAUCCCGCGUGUAUGAUGAAGGCCUUCGGGUUGUAAAGUACUUUUGGCAGAGAAGAAAAGGUAUCCCCUACUACGGGAUACUGCUGACGGUAUCUGCAGAAUAAGCACCGGCUAACUACGUGCCAGCAGCCGCGGUAAUACGUAGGGUGCAAGCGUUAAUCGGAAUUACUGGGCGUAAAGCGUGUGUAGGCGGUUCGGAAAGAAAGAUGUGAAAUCCCAGGGCUCAACCUUGGAACUGCAUUUUUAACUGCCGAGCUAGAGUAUGUCAGAGGGGGGUAGAAUUCCACGUGUAUCACUGAAAUGCGUAGAUAUGUGGAGGAAUAACGAUGGCGAAGGCAACCCCCUGGGAUAAUACUGACGCUCAGACACGAAAGCGUGGGGAGCAAACAGGAUUAGAUACCCUGGUAGUCCACGCCCUAAACGAUGUCAACUAGCUGUUGGGGCCGUUAGGCCUUAGUAGCGCAGCUAACGCGUGAAGUUGACCGCCUGGGGAGUACGGUCGCAAGAUUAAAACUCAAAGGAAUUGACGGGGACCCGCACAAGCGGUGGAUGAUGUGGAUUAAUUCGAUGCAACGCGAAAAACCUUACCUACCCUUGACAUGUCUGGAAAGCCGAAGAGAUUUGGCCGUGCUCGCAAGAGAACCGGAACACAGGUGCUGCAUGGCUGUCGUCAGCUCGUGUCCUGAGAUGUUGGGG